rnacentral:lncRNA from 1 species
UGCCGUGCUAUGUGUACAACCAGAACCAAGUUACCGACCACUAAUAACAGAUGUCCUGCACUCCUUCAUUCCCCUUGUACCAAUCGAGCUUGGUGGGUCCUUGAGAGUUGUGGAUUCUGCACUAUCUAUUAACGCAUAACAAAAUGAGUUGCUUCAUUCAAAGUUUGCUUUGGCCUACUCUUGGGAUUACUUGUGUUCCUACGGAAACUGGUAACUGAAUGAACAACUUGACCUUUCCUCUUCUUUUGUUCUAUCCUGAGUUUGUAUCAAGUCUGUGCAGCCACCUCCUUUGACAAAUUAUUACUUUCAUUUUACUGCUUUAACUUACAGAAUCAAAACGGACGAUUUGAUAGGUUGCUGCUAUUGCCGUGCUAUGUGUACAACCAGAACCAAGUUACCGACCACUAAUAACAGAUGUCCUGCACUCCUUCAUUCCCCUUGUACCAAUCGAGCUUGGUGGGUCCUUGAGAGUUGUGGAUUCUGCACUAUCUAUUAACGCAUAACAAAAUGAGUUGCUUCAUUCAAAGUUUGCUUUGGCCUACUCUUGGGAUUACUUGUGUUCCUACGGAAACUGGUAACUGAAUGAACAACUUGACCUUUCCUCUUCUUUUGUUCUAUCCUGAGUUUGUUAUUUGGCUAAUGCAAUUUUUGCUAUGAAUUUAGAGUAGGACCACUUACCAAAAGAAAAUUUAUGCUGUGUGUAUAUAAUUGUAAAUUUGAGGUAGCAAAAUCUCUGAUCUCACUUCAAGUUUCCUCAGGUUUUUGUUCUUUCAUGGUUGUUUUUUGUAUUAGUGGAAUUGAUAUGCUUCUACUGUAAAGAAUGACUUAUGGUUCCAGUAUUUGUGCAUACAAAAUUUUCUGUUCUCCUUA